rnacentral:rRNA from 1 species
GUACACACCGCCCGUCACACCAUGGGAGCGGGUUCUGCCAGAAGUAGUUAGCCUAACCGCAAGGAGGGCGAUUACCACGGCAGGGUUCGUGACUGGGGUGAAGUCGUAACAAGGUAGCAGUAGGUGAACCUGCAGAAGGAUCA